GGUUUUCAGGUGUGUGAAUCCCUCUUAAACUGACAAUACAAGGAAGAAAACUUAAUAGCUCUUGAGGACCUGCGACUUAUCCAAUUGAUGUAUAAGUUAUUUAAUUAUAACUUUAUUGACCUGCAUAGACUUUUAAAGAUUGUGUCAAUCUUCUUUGACCUCUUAUCAUUUGUAUAGCCUUUUCAACUGACCUUUGAGGACUUGUUGGAAA
rnacentral:misc_RNA from 1 species